rnacentral:lncRNA from 9 species
GCAUAUGGAGGUUCCCAGGCUAGGGGUUGAAUUGGAGCUGUAGCCACCGGCCUACACCAGAGCCACAGCAAUUCAGGAUCUGAGCCGCGUCUGCAACCUACACCACAGCUCACGGCAACACCGGAUCGUUAACCCACUGAGCAAGGGCAGGGACCGAACCCGCAACCUCAUGGUUUGCAGUCGGAUUCGCUAACCACUGCGCCACGACGGGAACUCCAAGUUCCCUUUUUUUAAAGCAUUUUUUUCAUUGCUUCUUCCAUUUAUGCCCAUUGAUAUGUUUGUAUCAAAGGACAUAUAUUUACUGCAUAAGCAGUGUUAUUGAUGUCAUUUCCAGAAAAAAAAUGUGGCAGAUACAGGAAUGUUGGGAACCUGACAUGAACCCCCACUCAUGCUUGAGAGCUCUGGCUUUGGGGUCAGGCAGGCCUGUUUCAGACUCUGAUGGCCACUUACUAACUGUGUGUUCGUGGGCAACUCCUGAAUAUUUUUUGAGCCUCAGUUUCUUCAUCUGUAAAACGGGAUCAAUAAUACUUACCUUGCAGGGUCCUCUGCAAACGAAAGGAGAUAACGAAUGUGAAGCCUUUAAAACACUCAGCCGAGGCGAAGGCCACAUGAAAGAUAUGCACGUGCCAAGUGUUCAGGGAACUGCAAGCAACUUCACAAGCCUGGAUCUGGCCACACACGUGUCAGCCAAGGCCUCUUACCUUCGACCAGCUGCCGAGACCGAUGUGUUUUCUUUUCCGAGCCUCUCAGAUCCGCUCCACGCAGCCCGGGGGGUGUGGGCCGCGGGGAGGACAGUGGUAAAUAUCACGUCAACUCCGGAGGCACAGCCAAGGUUGAUGACUGAGUGUCGGGAUGACCGAUCAAGAGUCAGGUGAGUGGGGUGGGGGCUGGUAAGAAGGUCGGGGAGGCGGCAGGGCGAGGGCGGGGGUCAGAUUCAAGAACUAACGCAAAAGACACGAGCAGGAACCAGAGACCCAAGGAGGACAUAGAGCAGCGAAUUGAAUCCUGGAAACAGGUUUCCGCCGCUGGCUGCUUUUAGAAGAAUGAGGAGACCCCCCUCAGCAGCCUUUGGGGGCGAUGUCCUGUCUUUAAGACUCCCCACUCCCCGUGGAAACUCUCAUGUCCCCGGCCGGUCACACCAGUCUCUGAAGCUGAGCCUUAAGUGAAAAUGAUCGGCUUCCCAGGUGACUUUGGAGAAGCCAGAGUCAGCGGCUCCUUGAGUGUCUCCCCUGCACCUCCCUCCUCCACACCGCUGUUUCCAGACACCCCUUCCCAGGCGAUGCUGUAGAACCCUCACUGGCUCUCCCUUUAUUUCUGAGUUUGAUGGGUACCACUCGAGACAGAGGGUGUCCUGGCCCAGCCCCCCUGCAGCCUCGCACCUGUGACCGGCCUGCCUUCCUCUCGCUGCCCGCCUUGCUGUUUCUCCUGUGAUAUCCUUGGGCAUGACUGGGGGGAGCCCAGUGGACCCCUGAAAUGCAGAGGCCCCAGGGAGGAUGGGCCCAGGUGAGGCCCAGGUGUGGGAAGGACUGAUCUGGCAGGAAGAACUCAGUGUGUGCGGCCAUGUGAGCCAACACAGUGGAGCCCAGAGCAGGGUUGGAGGGGUCCUGGGGCGGGGUGUGUGCAUGAG